UACAGAGGGUGCGAGCGUUGUUCGGAAUCACUGGGCGUAAAGCGCGCGCAGGCGGCACGUCAAGUCGGAAGUGAAAUCUCGCCGCUCAACGGCGAGGCUGCUUUCGAUACUGGCGCUCUAGGGAGUGGUAGAGGCUGGUAGAAUUGCAGGUGUAGCGGUGGAAUGCGUAGAGAUCGGAAAGAACACCAACGGCGAAAGCACUCUGCUGGGCCGACACUGACACUGAGAGACGAAAGCUAGGGGAGCGAAUGGG
rnacentral:rRNA from 1 species